rnacentral:snoRNA from 1 species
UCAGAUGAUGAGAAAAAUUUCAUUAGCUCUAGAUCAAGAGUCGUAUCUGCGGCGAUGACCGAUCAAACUAUAUUCUCUGAUGA